rnacentral:rRNA from 1 species
CCUACGGGAGGCAGCAGUGGGGAAUCUUGCGCAAUGGGCGAAAGCCUGACGCAGCCAUGCCGCGUGAAUGAUGAAGGUCUUAGGAUUGUAAAAUUCUUUCACCGGGGACGAUAAUGACGGUACCCGGAGAAGAAGCCCCGGCUAACUUCGUGCCAGCAGCCGCGGUAAUACGAAGGGGGCUAGCGUUGCUCGGAAUUACUGGGCGUAAAGGGAGCGUAGGCGGAUAGUUUAGUCAGAGGUGAAAGCCCAGGGCUCAACCUUGGAAUUGCCCUUGAUACUGGCUAUCUUGAGUACGGAAGAGGUAUGUGGAACUCCGAGUGUAGAGGUGAAAUUCGUAGAUAUUCGGAAGAACACCAGUGGCGAAGGCGACAUACUGGUCCGUUACUGACGCUGAGGCUCGAAAGCGUGGGGAGCAAACAGGAUUAGAUACCCUGGUAGUCCACGCUGUAAACGAUGAGUGCUAGUUGUCGGCAUGCAUGCAUGUCGGUGACGCAGCUACG